rnacentral:rRNA from 1 species
GAUGAACGCUGGCGGCGUGCUUAACACAUGCAAGUCGAGCGAAGCACUUUUGCGGAUUUCUUCGGAUUGAAGCAAUUGUGACUGAGCGGCGGACGGGUGAGUAACGCGUGGGUAACCUGCCUCAUACAGGGGGAUAACAGUUGGAAACGGCUGCUAAUACCGCAUAAGCGCACAGUACCGCAUGGUACGGUGUGAAAAACUCCGGUGGUAUGAGAUGGACCCGCGUCUGAUUAGGUAGUUGGUGGGGUAACGGCCUACCAAGCCGACGAUCAGUAGCCGACCUGAGAGGGUGACCGGCCACAUUGGGACUGAGACACGGCCCAAACUCCUACGGGAGGCAGCAGUAGGGAAUAUUGCACAAUGGGGGAAACCCUGAUGCAGCGACGCCGCGUGAGCGAUGAAGUAUUUCGGUAUGUAAAGCUCUAUCAGCAGGGAAGAAAAUGACGGUACCUGACUAAGAAGCCCCGGCUAACUACGUGCCAGCAGCCGCGGUAAUACGUAGGGGGCAAGCGUUAUCCGGAUUUACUGGGUGUAAAGGGAGCGUAGACGGCAUGGCAAGCCAGAUGUGAAAGCCCGGGGCUCAACCCCGGGACUGCAUUUGGAACUGUCAGGCUAGAGUGUCGGAGAGGAAAGCGGAAUUCCUAGUGUAGCGGUGAAAUGCGUAGAUAUUAGGAGGAACACCAGUGGCGAAGGCGGCUUUCUGGACGAUGACUGACGUUGAGGCUCGAAAGCGUGGGGAGCAAACAGG